UACGGAGGGAGCUAGCGUUGUCCGGAAUUAUUGGGCGUAAAGAGCUCGUAGGCGGUUUGUCGCGUCUGCUGUGAAAACUCGGGGCUUAACCCCGGGCCUGCAGUGGGUACGGGCAGACUAGAGUGCGGUAGGGGAGACUGGAAUUCCUGGUGUAGCGGUGAAAUGCGCAGAUAUCAGGAGGAACACCGGUGGCGAAGGCGGGUCUCUGGGCCGUAACUGACGCUGAGGAGCGAAAGCGUGGGGAGCGAACAGG
rnacentral:rRNA from 1 species